rnacentral:rRNA from 1 species
CAGAGGGGGCAAGCGUUAUUCGGAAUUAUUGGGCGUAAAGGGCGCGUAGGCGGCUUUGCAAGUGACGGGUGAAAGCCCUCGGCUUAACCGGGGAACUGCCUGUCAGACUGUGAGGCUUGAGACCGGGAGAGGUGAGUGGAAUUCCCAGUGUAGCGGUGAAAUGCGUAGAUAUUGGGAGGAACACCAGUGGCGAAGGCGGCUCACUGGACCGGAACUGACGCUGAGGCGCGAAAGCGUGGGGAGCAAACAGGAUUAGAUACCCUGGUAGUCCACGCCGUAAACGAUGAGUGCUUGGUGUAGCGGGUAUCGACCCCUGCUGUGCCGAAGUCAACACAUUAAGCACUCCGCCUGGGGAGUACGGUCGCAAGACUG